rnacentral:misc_RNA from 1 species
UUUCCGUAGGUGAACCUGCGGAAGGAUCAUUAUUGUAUAACCGAGGUGCGAGGGCUGUCGCUGACCCGAAAGGUCGUGCACGCCCGAGUGCCCUCACACACUUCCAUCUCUCCCCUAUGUGCACCACCGCGUGGGUCCCCCUUUGGCUUGUUCGGAGGGGGGCUUACGUUUUCACACAAACUUUGUAUGCAGUGUAUAAUGUAUUUUUUGUUUUUGCGAUCACGCAAUCAAUACAACUUUCAACAACGGAUCUCUUGGCUCUC